rnacentral:pre_miRNA from 1 species
UCUUACGAAUGAGCAAAGAAAGUAGUUACUUGAAAUGGAAACCACUCCAGGUGAAGAUGCUGUGAA